CUCUCUGAAAUGCAAGAGAGAGAAGACUUAGGAACCCAAGGGAGUCACUUUGUGGUCUCUGAGCAUCUUGUGAGGAAGCUGCACGUCAGCAGAGCAGUGCUGCGAUGAAGCGACGUGCAUGCAGGCAGCUAUCAUAUCUCCAAAUCAGAUGGCCGCGUACGAUUUAUCUGAAGGAUGCUCGCCCAUCACCCAGACCCAGACAUCAUUGUCAGCGCCAAGCUUCCAUGUCACCGACUUCCCGUUGGCUGGAAAAGAAGCAGCUCUUUGUUAAACAGUUUGCUCGGUGGCUCCGUGCAGGGCCUGUGUCCUGCCUGCUGUGCCCUCCUGGCUGCUGCCGAUGGCAGAGCCUCUCCGAAAGUAGCUGUAUGUGGGGAAAGCUUGGCUGAGACGCAGCACGCACCUCCCAUUUCAUUUCAUGGUACUGAAGCCAGGGAGCAGUUGACUUGGCCAGAUCUGUGCCAGAGGGGGAAGCAGCCGGCAGGCAGAGCCUUACCUUUUCUCGGCAGUGGCUUCUUUGCUAAAGCCUUGUCUGCAGCAGCUUCU